rfam:Tolypothrix bouteillei VB521301 scaffold_1, whole genome shotgun sequence.
GUUCGGUAAAACCUACCCAGAGUUGGACAUAAAUUGACAACUCUACCGAACGUGCAGGAACAGGAUUAGACCUACGAUUUUUGAGUCAUGACACCAAUAAAUGAACGCCAGUUUAUUGCUCUGUCGAUUGCCAUUAAGGCACGGAUUAACGGUUUACAAAUCCGCGUGUGGUAGUCCUAACAAGCUCUUAAAUCAUUUCCGAGGCAAACCUUAG